GACGAACGCUGGCGGCGUGCUUAACACAUGCAAGUCGAACGGAAAGGCCCUGCUUUUGUGGGGUUCUCGAGUGGCGAACGGGUGAGUAACACGUGAGUAACCUGCCCUUGACUUUGGGAUAACUUCAGGAAACUGGGGCUAAUACCGGAUAGGAGCUCCUGCUGCAUGGUGGGGGUUGGAAAUUUUCGGCGGUUGGGGAUGGACUCGCGGCUUAUCAGCUUGUUGGUGGGGUAGUGGCUUACCAAGGCUUUGACGGGUAGCCGGCCUGAGAGGGUGACCGGCCACAUGGCGACUGAGAUACGGCCCAGACUCCUACAGGAGGCAGCAGGGGGGAAUAUUGCACAAUGGGCGGAAGCCGGAGGCAGCAACGCCGCGGGCGGGAUGACGGUCUGCGGGUUGUAAACCGCUUUCGCCUGUGACGAAGCGUGAGUGACGGUAAUGGGUAAAGAAGCACCGGCUAACUACGUG
rnacentral:rRNA from 1 species